AACAAAAUCCCUAAGUUAACAAACAAAAUUAGAAAGCCGUGUUUGUAAUAAAAAUGUAAAGGACAUGUUCUAAUUAAUAUUUGAUUAAUAUUUAUCCUUUAAUCGACUAAAUAUGUAUUAAAUUAAAACCAUUAGAAUUGUGGUGAUGGUUGGGACGUGGCAACGGAAGGAGUUGGUGAAAUCGAAGCAAGUGGUGAUGUUGAAGUUGAAGAAAGUUUGAAUGUGGUUAACUCUGAAAUUCUAAAGGCUAAGAAAGGUAAGAUGCCGAUGGUUCGGAAGUUGGAGAUGCAGAAGUUGGAGUAAAUGGUGUUGCUGUUGAUGAAGGCAGUGUGAAUCAAGUAAACAUGAUGCUUCGCCGCCAGGAUGAUGUUGCUAAUGGAUCUCGUCUUCAAAGGUUUUAUUUAUAUUAAUUUUAGUGGUUUGGUUGUUUUGUUGGUAACCAUGAUACUUUUUUACUCUUUAGUUGAUUGAUUCUUUAAUGCAUUUAGUGAUAAUCAUAGAAUUAGAAAUCACAUGCAUUGAUUCCCUUUUAAACACCAUAUCUUGCUCUCUUUUUUUCUCUUUCUUUUGGAAUCAAUUUUCAACUAUCCUUUAAAACUGCAUGCUAUGUGUUUGUGAGAUUGUCUCUGUUAAUAAAACUUCAAAAAAACUGUGUGUUUUUGAUUGGUUUCUUUUUCCAUAUAUGUUAUGUUCUAACCAUAUAUGUUAUGUUCUGUUCUAACCAUUUUUCUUAUAAAACUUCAAAGACAUUGACAUUUUGUUGUUUUAUCUUGGCAAGUUUCUUAUAUGUUUAUGUCACUCGAUUCAUUGUUCCCCUAUAGAAAGAAAAUUGAAUUAAAUACAAACUAUGUAUAUACAAAAAACUUAGAAAAUGAUAUAGACAGGGCAUGACUAAUGAAUUAGCAAUAAUUUGGUCCUCCACGUUUAUCUCUUUCUCAUCUGUAUUUUAGAUUAAUGCCUAGCAACGUUUCCUAUCAAAUCUGAAGUUUGUAGUUGUUAUGUUCUUGAGGUGGUAGUUUGUAGUUGUUCUGUUCUUGAGGUGGCAAUUUUAACUAUUAAGAUUGAUAAUUGUGUUUUUUCUAUAUUUUGUUUAAUAUCAAGUUGUGGUGCUUGUAUGCAUUAGGGAAUAGGGAAUUUCACUUUGAACAGAAGUUAGGAUAUUGUUAUUGCUAUGAUUUUUAUUUCAUCCUUCAUGAUUGUACUCGUAGGCUUGUUGCAUAUGAAUGAUUAGUUCAUAUAUAUGUGAAUAAAUAAAGAAGCUUACAAAACAAUUUGGCUACACAAUAUUUCCAACUGCUUUAUUUAACCUUUUGCUCAUCCUCUCUCUCUUUACUCUCAAAGCUGCAAAUUAGAUCAAUACCACUUCAUUACAUUGUUGCAGCAUAAAUAUAUCCAUAAAUCUUUUCAAUAUCCUGAUCUUGCUUUAUAUAUACAUAAUAUUAAUAUCUCUCUCAAAGCUAAUCAUUUUCUUUAAAUUUUUCAAGCAAAGGGUGGUAUGUGUUCAACCUAUCAACAAAUACCCACUAUUAUACAAGUUUAAAAGAAAUCAUUAUAUCAUAUGUGUAUAUAUAUGCAAUACCCCUGCAGUCAAAAGUUGAUCACGUACUUAUAUUUUCAGUUCCAAUUAAUUAGUUAAUUAGAUGCAAUUAUAUUUCUAAAACUUUAUCAUUUUUUGAUAACCAAAGUUAAUGCAUUGUCAUAGAAUUGUUGGCGACUUGGUUCGUAAUACUUAAUUGGAGAUAUACAAAAAAAUCCUGAUGAUUGAGAUGCUUAGUGCUUUAUACUUAAUUGGAGAUAUACAAAAAAGUCUUGUUUAGUGUUUCAUCCUUCAUGGUUCUUGAUCGUUCUUGCUUUUUUGUUUUUCAGGUGGAUUUGACACUGCUAUGCUGCAGCAAGAUAAAUUUCAUAUUUAGGCAUAUGAUCGAGCUGCAAUCAAGUUCCGUGGUGUUGAUGCGGAUAUCAAUUUCAACGUUAGCGAUUAUGAUGAUGAUAUAAAGCAGAUGAGUAACUUUAUGAAGGAAGAGUUUGUGCAUAUUCUGCAUAGACAGAGCACUGGUUUUUCAAGAGGAAGCUCCAAAUAUAGAGGAGUUACUCUGCAUAAAUGUGGGCGAUGGGAAGCUCGUAUGAGACAGUUUCUUGGGAAAAAAUAUAUAUCUUGGGCUAUUUGAUAGCGAACUAGACGCAAGCGUAUGAUAAGGCUACUAUAAAAUGCAAUGGAAGGAAAACAAUUACUAAUUUUGAGGCCAGCUCUUAUGAAGGGGAGGUAAUUUCCCAGUCUGAUAACAAAGCAGAUAAUGAAAUCUUUGGCCAGUGACGGUGAAUAAUAGUAAUCAUUCAAGUGAUUUGGUUGUGUUAAUUCAUAUGAAUCUUUUUGUAUUAAUCCUUAUUAUUAAUAUUAUUACUAUCUUUUUAUGUAUACUCAGACUUGUGAUUUGUUUGUGGUUUCAUGUUAACUAUAAUGUAAUGUCAACAUAGUUGAUGCCAUCAUGUGACUCCUUGGGUCGAGGCAUGUUCAAAUCGAUUAUGCCUAUAAUUACAUUAGUGUUUUGGUUUUA